rnacentral:lncRNA from 1 species
CCUCGGUGCGCGCAGGGAGCGACUUCGUUCCCCUGCGACUGAGCUCCGCUCCGUGGGGUCACUCGCGGAGCCUCGCGGCGAGACGCGGCGGGAGGACGGCGGAUCUGCGUGAGCUGGGACGCCCUGCUGCGUCCGCGGAGCGCCGGCCUGGCCGGGCCUAGCUGGUGCUGGGUUCACGUGUGUCUGAGUGGAGCCUGUGCCCG